rnacentral:rRNA from 1 species
UACGAAGGGGGCGAGCGUUUGUUCGGAAUUACUGGGCGUAGAGGGCGCGUAGGCGGCGACUCAAGUUAGAUGUGAAAGUCCUGGGCUUAACCUGGGGACUGCAUUUGAUACUGGGUUGCUUGAAUUCGGGAGAGGAUAGCGGAAUUCCCAGUGUAGAGGUGAAAUUCGUAGAUAUUGGGAAGAACACCGGUGGCGAAGGCGGCUAUCUGGACCGACAUUGACGCUGAGGCGCGAAAGCGUGGGGAGCAAACAGG